rnacentral:lncRNA from 1 species
UCAGGAUAAGAGCAAGGAAUAUGUUGUAUGUGAAUCAAGCAUAGUCACAAAGGUAUGCUGGUAUUUGCAUCCUUUUGAGUCUACUCUUCCUUUGGGCUGUAUUGCUAUCAUUACCCACCACUGGAAAACAACCUUGUCCUCAAAGUUGGGCAACAAAAACAAAAUUGAAACAGGGGUGGGUUUAGAAAAAAAAAUAAAAAACAUGAUGGAAGUUGCUUUAUUGGUGGGCUUGUUUGGGCCUUGAGAAUGUUGGAAAGCAAAGGACCAAAAUGGUGUCAUGUGGGAAAGCAAAACCUAAUCCUUCUUUUUCAUUCUCAAUAGUGUUAU